rnacentral:rRNA from 1 species
GGUCACUGCUAUUGGGAUUCGGCUAAGCCAUGCAAGCGGAGGGCGCGGUCGAAAGAUCGUGGCCCCGCACACUGCUCAGUAACACGUAGUCAACCUACCCUUGGGACGGGGACAACCUCGGGAAACUGAGGCUAAUACCCGAUAGGUGAGGGACGCUGGGAUGCCUCCUCGCCCAAAGCUCCGGCGCCCAAGGAUGGGACUGCGGUCUAUCAGGCUGUUGGUGGUGUAACGGACCACCAAACCUACGACGGGUACGGGCGAUGGGAGUCGGAGCCCGGAGAUGGGGACUGAGACAAGGCCCCAGGCCCUACGGGGCGCAGCAGGCGCGAAAACUCCGCAAUGCGCGCAAGCGUGACGGGGGGAUCCCAAGUGCCGUUGGUCUUUCGAUCGACGGUUUUUAGGAAGUCUAAGAAGCUUCCAGAAUAAGGGCUGGGCAAGACUGGUGCCAGCCGCCGCGGUAACACCAGCAGCCCAAGUGGUGGCCACGAUUAUUGGGCCUAAAGCGCUCGUAGCCGGAUCAGCAAGUCCCUUGUGAAAUCGGGCCGCCUAACGGUUCGGCGUGCAAGGGAUACUGUUGGUCUUGAGGCCGGGAGAGGUCGGAGGUACUCCUGGGGUAGCGGUGAAAUGCUCUAAUCCUAGGGGGACCACCAGUGGCGAAGGCGUCCGACCAGAACGGACCUGACGGUGAGGGGCGAAGGCUAGGGGAGCGAACGGGAUUAGAUACCCCGGUAGUCCUAGCUGUAAAGCAUGCGGGCCAGGUGUCUAGCGCUCCUUGAGGGCACUAGGUGCCGGAGGGAAGCCGUUAAGCCCGCCGCCUGGGAAGUACGGCCGCAAGGCUGAAACUUAAAGAAAUUGGCGGGGGAGCACCACAAGAGGUGGGACCUGCGGUUC